AACUGUGGUAUUUUAAUGGUGGGACAUUUUCAUUGUUACUGAAAUAAAUUAAAUCUUUCAUAGUGAAAGAAUGGUAAAGUAGAACUACAGCGUUCUAGCGCAAGAGUCAGGAAUCCUGAAGUCUCAUUGUAGACAGAAGUUAUAAAGAGAAGAAAAAAGACAUUCACGUAGGCUUUUGAGUGUUUGUGGGUUCAGCUCACAUGAGUUUUCCUGUGCUUUCUUUCCCCUACACGGAAUUGACUCAUCAUUUACCCAUUAAACCUGUACAUAGGAGAACAAGAACAUGAAGUCUCUGUCAACUGGUAUUUUCCGUUUGAUUUUCCACUUUUGGAGUCUUCUGAGUUUUCUUUACCUUAUCAGAUUUAGGACUGUAUUCUAGCCUCAUGUGAGAAUAGAGGAGGAUUUGCUGUCAUUCAGGACCUGAGCCUCUAUUCAAAUAGUUUGUAGUUUUUAUCUUCAUCCAUGCCCGAGUUUGGUUAAAACAUGCUGUUUACAGCCUCGGGUUUUCUUUCACUGUCUAGGCUAUCUAUCCCCUCUUCUUUGUUUUCCCCCCAAACUCUAAACUUGGUGUUGGGGGCCCCCAACCUCUGUGCUUGGUUUAGUUUUUACCAAGAACAGGCGCAGUCACCAACCAUUUGUAGGUGCAAGUUAAGGCUUGUUAGAAUGUUUGGCUUCUAAACUGUGAGAUCUGAGUAAUAUCAUCUAGUGUACAGUUUUGAUCACAUGGAGUGUGUUGUAUUUGUAGGAAGAAAGUCAAUUGUAUUUUUUUAAGUUUGUACCAUAGGUCAUAAUUAUUAUAGUGUUUAUAGGAUAAUAAACUCAUUAGGUAAUUAUGUCUCAUUGAGGUAUUUGAAACAUUAUUUGUUUUUAACUUGAAAACUCUCAGGUAGAUAAUAACUAGGUUUCACUUGGGACACUUAAUUUAAGUGGAAGGUAUCUGUAAUGAACUGCACAUUUUCUGUUUUAAUUUUUUUUAUUCUUUGCCAUUUUGAAAAUAAGCUAGGCUAACAGUAGUAGAUGUUGAGGUCAGUCCAUCCUACGCCUAUCUUUCCUCUUAAAUGGUUGAGGUGAGGUGACCCCAAAUUUCAUAAGAUUUGGGUAAAAUUUGCUCAUUAUUGAUCCUAUCAAUGAUGUUUUUUCAGCUAUGGUAUUAAUCAAGUACUUUCUGUUACACCACGCACUAGCUAAGUACUUUUUAUACAUGAUCUCAUUUAGUCGAUAUAGAUACUAUUAUUAUCCUACUUUGCAAAUGAUAACAUUGACUUAAACAAGGCCACAAAGUUAAUAAUUGACAGAACCUAGAUUUGAAACAGUGUUGAAUAGCUCAAAAUCCAGUGUGAUUAACUAUCAGGGGGUAUAGUAAGCUAUAAGUAAAUUGGAUGUAAAGUGGGGGUUCCACAUCCCCUUUCCUUCAGCAGAGGGGGAAAGGAAGAUAAAUGAAUAUGGGAUUUGCUUUCUCCACCCCUGAUCCAAAGAAGGUUGGGAGCCUUUGAGCUAGUUACUGCUCUAGGCCAAGAGAUGAAUGGAAAGUAGGUAGCCUAUGAAGAGGAUCACCUUUUGUUAAGCACUUGUGGAAGAUGCUAGACUUUCUUAAGCAGUGCAGUUUCUUCUUUCUGCUUAUUGGCCUCUUUGUGGGAGAUGCUGUUUACACAGUAUGUUAGUCAGUGUAGGCUGCAGUGACAGAAAACCAUAGACUGGGUGGCUUAACAGAAAUUUGUUUCUUAUAAUUCUGGACGUUGAGAAGUCCAAAACUGAGACAGCAGCUGAUUCAUUUCCUGGUGAGAGCAAUCUUCUUGGCUUCAGAUAUCUACCUUCUCAUUGUGCCCUUACAUGGUGGGAGUAGGGGAGGAGUGGGAGAGAGGAUGCUGUCUGGUGUUCUUAUAAAGACACUAGCCCCACACUCAUGACCUCAUCUCAACCUAAUUAAAUUACAGGCCCCAUUGUCAAAUAGCAUAACAUUGAGGAUUAGUGCUUGAAUGUAUGAAUUUUGGGGGGACCCAGUUCAGUUUCUGGGGCAUAGUCUUUCAAUACCCCUUGUAGGCUUUAUGUAGAGUUAAGAUUCUGUGGUGAAAGUGAUUAACAUUUAGUGUCUCCCACUAAAGUGUUCUUUAAUUCUAGACAUGAUGAACAUUUAUGGCUUAGAUUAAACUUUUACCAGGUAACACACUCUGUGUAAAAACUGAAGUGUUUCUCAAAUGUUAUCUCAUUUAGUCUUUGCAGUAGAUGAGAAAAUUGAGGCUCAGUUUUGUAUAUAUUUCAGGUGGCAUAACUAUUAAGUGGUAAAACUUACAUCAGGGAUGCUUUAGGCUGCAAAUGUCAAUAAUAAAAUAAAACAAAACCUCACAAAAUAUCCAACCUUCCUUAGCUUAAAGAAAUAGAUGUUUAAUUUUCAUACGUAACAAGAAGUCCAUAUAUAUAAGUAGUUUCUGUUUGGGUAUAGAAGGUUAGCAAUGUUAGGACUUGAUCUGCAUCCCUACAAUUCUUCUGGCCUUCCAUUCAUCAUUAUAAGGUGGCUGUGGAAGCCCACAUGCUAAGAGAGGGAACAGAGGAUGAUACAUGGCAGGGCACUCUUCCAUGUGCUUU